rnacentral:rRNA from 1 species
UGGGGAAUAUUGCGCAAUGGGCGGAAGCCUGACGCAGCGACGCCGCGUGGGGGAUGACGGCCUUCGGGUUGUAAACCUCUUUCAGCAGGGACGAAGCCUUUACCGGUGACGGUACCUGCAGAAGAAGCACCGGCCAACUACGUGCCAGCAGCCGCGGUAAUACGUAGGGUGCAAGCGUUGUCCGGAAUUAUUGGGCGUAAAGAGCUCGUAGGCGGUUGGUCGCGUCGGCUGUGAAAACCCGGAGCUCAACUCCGGGCCUGCAGUCGAUACGGGCCGACUUGAGUGUUGCAGGGGAGACUGGAAUUCCUGGUGUAGCGGUGAAAUGCGCAGAUAUCAGGAGGAACACCGGUGGCGAAGGCGGGUCUCUGGGCAACAACUGACGCUGAGGAGCGAAAGCGUGGGGAGCGAACAGG